CCUACGGGCGGCAGCAGUGGGGAAUAUUGCACAAUGGGGGGAACCCUGAUGCAGCGACGCCGCGUGGGUGAGGAAGUACUUCGGUAUGUAAAGCCUUAUCAGCAGGGAAGAAAAUGACGGUACCUGACUAAGAAUCCCCGGCGAACUACGGGCCAGCAGCCGCGGUCAAACGUAGGGGGGAAGCGUUAUCCGGAUUUACUGGGUGUAAAGGGGGCGUAGACGGCGUGCCAAGUCUGGUGGGAAAGGGAGGGACUCCACCCCGGGACUGCAGUGGAAACUGGCAUGCUGGAGUGCCGGAGGGGCAUGCGGAAUGCGUGGUGUAGCGGUGAAAUGCGUAGAUAUUAGGAGGAACACCGAUGGCGAAGGCAGCUUGCUGGACGGUAACUGACGUUGAGGCUCGAAAGCGUGGGGAGCAAACAGGAUUAGAUACCCGUGUAGUC
rnacentral:rRNA from 1 species